CUCACUUAGGCACACGCCUUUAUCCCAAACAUUACUACAAAUCACUCUCACUUUUCUCUCUUCCUUGUCCGAAAUUCCGACGAACAGUAAUUCAGCUCGAGGGCACGGGCAAAUAUGGCGACGGCAACGGCGGUGGUUGUAUGGUCUGUGUGUCCAGGGGCAGCCAUGGUGAAAACCUUCAGACAAACCAAGAAGAAGAAAACAAGACAUGGAGAUUUCUUACGUGAGGGGACUGAACUCUUACGGCGGUCUGAAAGCACAGAGCGGCAAGGUUGUCUCCAUGGGAAUGCCGUCGUCUACCGAGCAAUGUUUCGCCAAUGUAGUAAUGUCGCUUAAGGGAGGAACCGGUAACGGAUCUGUCUCUUCGACUUGCAACGCGGUGGGAGAGAUUUUCAGGAUCGCAGCCGUCAUAUGAACACGUUUCUGGUUCUUGUCGGCGUCGCGGUUGGAUUCGUUCCUGAAAGACUCAAGGCUCCUUUUCCAUUUUAUGUUGAAUUUUGUCUAUAGUUAAUAUGAAAUAUUGUUCUAAUGCAUUCUUAAUCGGCACAAGUGAUCUAUAUACAUUAUUUGGUUAAUAACCAAAUACCCGAA